GUGGUAAUGCCGGAUGUUCCAGUUGAUCGCAUGGUCUUCUGGGAAAGCUUUCGCGGUAUGGGAUGGGGUCGCGUCCUAUCAGCUUGACGGCGGGGUAACGGCCCACCGUGGCUUCGACGGGUAGCCGGCCUGAGAGGGCGACCGGCCACAUUGGGACUGAGAUACGGCCCAGACUCCUACGGGAGGCAGCAGUGGGGAAUAUUGCACAAUGGGCGCAAGCCUGAUGCAGCGACGCCGCGUGAGGGAUGGAGGCCUUCGGGUUGUAAACCUCUUUUAUCGGGGAGCAAGCGUGAGUGAGUUUACCCGUUGAAUAAGCACCGGCUAACUACGUGCCAGCAGCCGCGGUAAUACGUAGGGUGCAAGCGUUAUCCGGAAUUAUUGGGCGUAAAGGGCUCGUAGGCGGUUCGUCGCGUCCGGUGUGAAAGUCCAUCGCUUAACGGUGGAUCCGCGCCGGGUACGGGCGGGCUUGAGUGCGGUAGGGGAGACUGGAAUUCCCGGUGUAACGGUGGAAUGUGUAGAUAUCGGAAAGAACACCA
rnacentral:rRNA from 1 species